rnacentral:rRNA from 1 species
GACGAACGCUGGCGGCGUGCUUAACAAAUGCAAGUCGAACGGAAAGGCCCUGCUGUUGUGGGGUGCUCGAGUGGCGAACGGGUGAGUAACACGUUAGUAACCUGCCCUGGACUUUGGGAUAACUUCAGGAAACUGGGGCUAAUACCGGAUAGGAGCUCCUGCUGCAUGGUGGGGGUUGGAAAGUUUCGGCGGUUGGGGAUGGACUCGCGGCUUAUCAGCUUGUUGGUGGGGUAGUGGCUUACCAAGGCUUUGACGGGUAGCCGGCCUGAGAGGGUGACCGGCCACAUUGGGACUGAGCUACGGCCCAGACUCCUACGGGAGGCAGCAGUGGGGAAUAUUGCACACUGGGCGGCAGCCUGAUGCAGCCACGCCGCGUGCGGGAUGACGGCCUUCGGGUUGUAAACCGCUUUCGCCUGUGACGAAGCGUGAGUGACGGUAAUGGGUAAAGAAGCACCGGCUAACUCCGUG